rnacentral:rRNA from 1 species
AACGAACGCUGGCGGCAUGCCUAACACAUGCAAGUCGAACGAGACCUUCGGGUCUAGUGGCGCACGGGUGCGUAACGCGUGGGAAUCUACCCUUGGGUUCGGAAUAACAGUUAGAAAUGACUGCUAAUACCGGAUGAUGACGUAAGUCCAAAGAUUUAUCGCCCAAGGAUGAGCCCGCGUAAGAUUAGCUUGUUGGUGGGGUAAUGGCCUACCAAGGCGACGAUCUUUAGCUGGUCUGAGAGGAUGAUCAGCCACACUGGGACUGAGACACGGCCCAGACUCCUACGGNNGGCAGCAGUGGGGAAUAUUGGACAAUGGGCGAAAGCCUGAUCCAGCAAUGCCGCGUGAGUGAUGAAGGCCUUAGGGUUGUAAAGCUCUUUUACCAGGGAUGAUAAUGACAGUACCUGGAGAAUAAGCUCCGGCUAACUCCGUGCCAGCCGCCGCAGUAA